AGGGGAAACAAUAAAGUUACUGCUAAUAAUUUUUUGUCAGUUAAUUCUGACUUCUCCUU
rnacentral:tRNA from 1 species